UUGCAUGGCUGUCCCCCCUUGGGGUCGGGAUAUGUUAGGUUAAGUCCCUCAACGAGCGCAAACCUUGUCCUUAUUUGCCAGCGGAUAAUGGGGGGAACUCUAAGGAGAUCGCCGGUGACCACCCGGAGGAAGGCGGGGACGACUUAAAUCAUCAUGGCCAUUAUCGGGGGGCUACACACUUGCUAGAAUGCGUUGCACAAAGGGGUACACACCGAAAAGGUGAACUAAUCCCAAAAACCCUCCCUUAGUCCGAAUUGAAGUCUAGCAACUCAACUCCUUGAAUCGAAAUCGCUAGAAA
rnacentral:rRNA from 1 species